rnacentral:snRNA from 1 species
CCGUUAGAAUCUCUCUUAUAU